rnacentral:rRNA from 1 species
AGUGAACGCUGGCGGCAGGCCUAACACAUGCAAGUCGAGCGGCAGCGGGUCCUUCGGGAUGCCGGCGAGCGGCGGACGGGUGAGGAAUACAUCGGAAUCUGCCCUGUCGUGGGGGAUAACCUAGGGAAACUAAGGCUAAUACCGCAUACGACCUACGGGUGAAAGCGGGGGAUCGCAAGACCUCGCGCGACAGGAUGAGCCGAUGUCCGAUUAGCUAGUUGGCGGGGUAAAGGCCCACCAAGGCGACGAUCGGUAGCUGGUCUGAGAGGAUGAUCAGCCACACUGGAACUGAGACACGGCCCAGACUCCUACGGGAGGCAGCAGUGGGGAAUAUUGGACAAUGGGCGCAAGCCUGAUCCAGCCAUGCCGCGUGGGUGAUGAAGGCCUUCGGGUUGUAAAGCCCUUUUGUCCGGGAAGAAAUCGUCUGGGCUAAUACCCCGGGCGGAUGACGGUACCGGAAGAAUAAGCACCGGCUAACUUCGUG